rnacentral:rRNA from 1 species
AGAGUUUGAUCCUGGCUCAGGAUGAACGCUGGCGGCGUGCCUAACACAUGCAAGUCGAGCGAGAAGGUAAGAAAUGAUUCUUCGGAAGAUUUUUUUACUGGAGAGCGGCGGACGGGUGAGUAACGCGUGGGUAACCUACCUCAUACUACGGGAUAACGCAUGGAAACGUGUGCUAAUACCGUAUAAGACCACACCAUGGCAUCAUGGAGUGGUAAAAACUCCGGUGGUAUGAGAUGGACCCGCGUCUGAUUAGCUAGUUGGUAGUGUAAAAGACUACCAAGGCGACGAUCAGUAGCCGGCCUGAGAGGGUGAACGGCCACAUUGGAACUGAGACACGGUCCAAACUCCUACGGGAGGCAGCGGUGGGAAUAUUGCACAAUGGGGGAAACCCUGAUGCAGCAACGCCGCGUGAAGGAAGAAGGUUUUCGGAUCGUAAACUUCUAUCAGCAAGGAAGAUAAUGACGGUACUUGACUAAGAAGCCCCGGCUAACUACGUGCCAGCAGCCGCGGUAAUACGUAGGGGGCAAGCGUUAUCCGGAAUUACUGGGUGUAAAGGGUGCGUAGACGGUAAUGACAGUCAGGUGUGAAAGCCCGAAGCUCAACUUCGGGACUGCACUUGAAACUACAUAACUAGAGUACAGGAGAGGAAAGUGGAAUUCCUAGUGUAGCGGUGGAAUGCGUAGAUAUUAGGAGGAACACCAGUGGCGAAGGCGACUUUCUGGACUGUAACUGACGUUGAGGCACGAAAGCAUGGGGAGCAAACAGGAUUAGAUACCCUGGUAGUCCAUGCCGUAAACGAUGAAUACUAGGUGUUGGCCCGUAAAGGGUCGGUGCCGAAGCUAACGCAUUAAGUAUUCCACCUGGGGAGUACGAUCGCAAGAUUGAAACUCAAAGGAAUUGACGGGGGCCCGCACAAGCGGUGGAGCAUGUGGUUUAAUUCGAAGCAACGCGAAGAACCUUACCAGGUCUUGACAUCCCGAUGACAGAUACUUAACCGUAUCCUUCUUCGGACAUCGGUGACAGGUGGUGCAUGGUUGUCAUCAGCUCGUGUCGUGAGAUGUUGGGUUAAGUCCCGCAACGAGCGCAACCCUUAUCUUUAGUAGCCAGCACGUUAUGGUGGGGACUCUAGAGAGACUGCCGGGGAUAACUCGGAGGAAGGUGGGGAUGACGUCAAAUCAUCAUGCCCCUUAUGAUCUGGGCUACACACGUGCUACAAUGGCGGAUACAAAGGGAAGCGAAGGGGUGACCUGGAGCCAAACUCAAAAAGUCCGUCCCAGUUCGGAUUGUAGUCUGCAACUCGACUACAUGAAGUUGGAAUCGCUAGUAAUCGCGGAUCAGAAUGUCGCGGUGAAUACGUUCCCGGGCCUUGUACACACCGCCCGUCACACCACGGGAGUUGGAAGCGCCCGAAGCCAGUGACCCAACCUUUGGGAGGGAGCUGUCGAAGGUGAAGCCGAUGACUGGGGUGAAGUCGUAACAAGGUA